UGCGCAUUGUGCACUGCGCUUCGCUGAGCAAGUUCUCCGCAGCUCACGCUCUUACUCAAGAGUCGUGUCUCGGGUCUCGGUAGUUGCCGUGCCACUACUUUAACUUCAUUCCAUUCCACAAUCGCGUUCGGUCGUUCGGUCAGCGCAACGCCUCGUGGUAUUACCACGCGUUGAUAUAAUAUUUUUAGUUUUUCAAGCAGCCACACACAACGCCUGGAUUAAAUAAAACAUCGGAAUUGUGUGGCAGUUUUUAGUUUUUAGUUCGGACUUGAUAUAAAGACGGUUUUUAAUUCAAGUGUUCUUCGUUUAUAGUGGUAGGGGUGACCUUUUGUUUGUGUUGAACGAAAUAAAUUGAUAAGCAGUGUUUGUUUAUAUUGUGUUGUGUGUUGUGUUUAUUUUCUCGCAUGCGAAUUGUGAUUUUUGUGAUUUUAUCAACCUUAAUGUUGUUAAACAGGUAAAAUGCAAGAACUGUGAGGACUCAAGGGCAUUGCCGUAAGCCCUUCACGUUGAGGAAGUAAGGGUGAACAACUGGCGAGUGAAACAAAGUGCGCGAAUAGCAAAACAAGGCGUAAACGGAUAACCAGAUUAACUGAUUAACAGCAAACGCACCUUCUAAAAGGAAAGGAAGAACAAAACUCCCGGACACACAUAGGUAAAUCCGCUAUAAUAUUGCUGGAUUAUAUUUGGAUUUAAAGGAUUUACAAACGGAUUGAAUCAUAAUUUAAAGGAUUAUUAAGAAUAGUGAAAGUGACAUUUUCGUCGAGAUGACUUACAAGUUUGUGUAGUGAAAAUUCAGACACUUCAUCAUCGGUGCCAACAUACGUUUUCCUUGUCAUCAUACAUCAAAGCAGAGAUAAUGGGGACAGCACUGAAAGCCU